AUUUUGCAUUCAAUUUUUAAACCGAGCGACCAUACAAUAUCUGCAAUAUGAAAUUCUAGUUUCGCUUGUGGUUUUCUUUAUAAAAAGUGGUUCAUCACACAACUCGUUUCAGUUUGCGUAUGAACCAUCUCCAUUAUUGAUAUUUUCUGCUCGUCGUGGCGUAAAUGAAGCAACGUAUUACAAUUUUGUAUGCCUGAGGUUAGACCCCAGCAUUAGGAUGUAGUUAGCAGCCAAAAGGAUUCAAGCCUCUUCCUUGAAGCAAAAUCAAGCCCAUUAUUCAAGCCUACUCUUGCAUUAUUUAUGCCAUGAUUAUUUUUUUGUGUUUUGUUGUGAGAGUGCUAAACACACUGGAGUAUUCUAAUUUUAAGCAGUACAUUUAAUGAAUGUCACAUGAAAUAAGACAUAAUGAACAAAUGAAACACAGAGCCAAUCAUGGAAUUCAUAGAGGAUUACAGACCCCAAGUGCAAAACUAUGUUCUUCAAAUGUCCUGCUCAAGAAUCCAACUCCUAGCUAUCCAGUACCAACCAAAUGGAUUGAAGGACUCUGCUACAAAUGCUGGCAUGAAAUCAUAGAAGGCCACUGGGCCAGUUUGUGGAAGGCUGAUGGUGAUGGCAAUUAAUCAGAAUCAGCAUGAAUAAAGUUCUGACUUAUAAUUCAGAGCUUUCAAAGAUACUUCUGUAAUCACUUUCAAGCCAUUGGUGAAGUUUAGUUUUGUCCACAAAUGAAAUUACACCAGACUACUCGGGAGGCAAUGUACAACUGACAUCCAGGUUAGGUUUGAUGUGUAUGUUGAUCUAAUAUUUUAAAAAAAAUUAUUGUAAUGGUGAGAGAGUGAAUUAUGCCCCAGUGUGUUAAUGCAUAACAUUUAUACUUACUGUAUAAUGCAGUACCAUGUAAAUAAUUAUUUAUACAAUGCAUUGCUUAUUGAAAUAAAGGAACUUAAAUAUCUGAUCAAAAGAAA